ACGCGGCGGUGCUUACCAUGCAAGUCGAACGGAAAGGCCCUUCGGGGUACUCGAGUGGCGAACGGGUGAGUAACACGUGGGUGAUCUGCCCUGCACUCUGGGAUAAGCCUGGGAAACUGGGUCUAAUACCGGAUAGGACCACACACUUCAUGGUGAGUGGUGCAAAGCUUUUGCGGUGUGGGAUGAGCCCGCGGCCUAUCAGCUUGUUGGUGGGGUAAUGGCCCACCAAGGCGACGACGGGUAGCCGGCCUGAGAGGGUGACCGGCCACACUGGGACUGAGAUACGGCCCAGACUCCUACGGGAGGCAGCAGUGGGGAAUAUUGCACAAUGGGCGCAAGCCUGAUGCAGCGACGCCGCGUGAGGGAUGACGGCCUUCGGGUUGUAAACCUCUUUCAGUAGGGACGAAGCGAAAGUGACGGUACCUACAGAAGAAGGACCGGCCAACUACGUGCCAGCAGCCGCGGUAAUACGUAGGGUCCGAGCGUUGUCCGGAAUUACUGGGCGUAAAGAGCUCGUAGGUGGUUUGUCGCGUUGUUCGUGAAAACUCACAGCUUAACUGUGGGCGUGCGGGCGAUACGGGCAGACUAGAGUACUGCAGGGGAGACUGGAAUUCCUGGUGUAGCGGUGGAAUGCGCAGAUAUCAGGAGGAACACCGGUGGCGAAGGCGGGUCUCUGGGCAGUAACUGACGCUGAGGAGCGAAAGCGUGGGUAGCGAACAGGAUUAGAUACCCUGGUAGUC
rnacentral:rRNA from 1 species